rnacentral:tRNA from 2 species
GCACCCGUAGCUCAGCUGGAUAGAGCGCUGCCCUCCGAAGGCAGGGGGCGAAGGCGGCGGGGGCC